rnacentral:ncRNA from 2 species
UUGCGUUAAGGAUUGCAGCGACAUCCUUUUUUGUUUUUCUCAAAAAAGAUACAGCGAAAAGCCUGACUUUAC